AGUGAACGCUGGCGGUAGGCCUAACACAUGCAAGUCGAACGGCAGCACAGUAAGAGCUUGCUCUUACGGGUGGCGAGUGGCGGACGGGUGAGGAAUACAUCGGAAUCUACUUUUUCGUGGGGGAUAACGUAGGGAAACUUACGCUAAUACCGCAUACGACCUACGGGUGAAAGCAGGGGAUCUUCAGACCUUGCGCGAUUGAAUGAGCCGAUGUCGGAUUAGCUAGUUGGCGGGGUAAAGGCCCACCAAGGCGACGAUCCGUAGCUGGUCUGAGAGGAUGAUCAGCCACACUGGAACUGAGACACGGUCCAGACUCCUACGGGAGGCAGCAGUGGGGAAUAUUGGACAAUGGGCGCAAGCCUGAUCCAGCCAUGCCGCGUGGGUGAAGAAGGCCUUCGGGUUGUAAAGCCCUUUUGUUGGGAAAGAAAAGCAGCAGGUUAAUACCCCGCUGUUCUGACGGUACCCAAAGAAUAAGCACCGGCUAACUUCGUG
rnacentral:rRNA from 1 species